UACAGAGGGGGCAAGCGUUAUUCGGAAUUAUUGGGCGUAAAGGGCGCGUAGGCGGCUUGGCAAGUGGGUGGUGAAAUCCCUCGGCUUAACCGAGGAACUGCCGUCCAAACUGCUUCGCUUGAGACCGGGAGAGGUGAGUGGAAUUCCCAGUGUAGCGGUGAAAUGCGUAGAUAUUGGGAGGAACACCAGUGGCGAAGGCGGCUCACUGGACCGGUACUGACGCUGAGGUGCGAAAGCGUGGGGAGCAAACAGG
rnacentral:rRNA from 1 species